CAGUAGCCGCGGGAAUACGAAGGGGGCUAGCGUUGCUCGGAAUGACUGGGCGUAAAGGGCGCGUAGGCGGAAUGCUUUGUCGGGCGUGAAAUUCCAGGGCUUAACCUUGGGGCUGCGUUCGAGACGGGUAUUCUAGAGUGGAGAAGAGGGUCGUGGAAUUCCCAGUGUAGAGGUGAAAUUCGUAGAUAUUGGGAAGAACACCGGUGGCGAAGGCGGCGACCUGGUCUUUUACUGACGCUGAGGCGCGAAGGCGUGGGGAGCAAACAGGAUUAGAUACCCGGGUAGUCCCUGUCUCUUAUAC
rnacentral:rRNA from 1 species